rnacentral:misc_RNA from 1 species
CUCCAUUUGAAUCACAAUUACCAAUGUUACAUCAGCUUUGAGGUGACAGGCCGAUGACAGACAUCGGUUAGUUCACAUCAAGAUUCUGAAUUGGUUCAAACAUUGUAGGAGAAAAAAGACUAUUGGUACAAUCUCUUCUAACAUGGAAGGCUUAACAUGUCUCAGCAGAUUCUGUGUCGAUGCCUGUCUCCGCAAAAGCUUCAAUUGGAGGUGUUACCCUUCUAAACUUAAACAAUUCUUAUUCCGAUCAAUGCUCUGCAACUGAUCCUCCCCAUUUCCUAACACGGCUCUCAGCUUCAUCUGCUUCUCUUUUCCAGUUAGUUAUUGAAGUGACUAUAAUCAAUAUUAUGGUCUGCAAACAAAUUCCUCCGAUCAUCCCCGACCAAAUACCCACGGCGCCAAAACCAAAUGUGAAUCCCAAGAGAAUGCCCGCCGGUAAUCCAACAAUGUAGUAACAAGCAAUGUUGAUGUAUGCAACAAGAGAUUGCCAUCCAGCUCCAACAGCAACGCCAGAUAAGACAGGCUGAAGGCUGUUUAGAAGCACAGUGAUUGCUAGCAAGGUAGCAAGUCUAGUAGUUUCAUUAGCAACUGCCUCACUGGUAGUGAAUAGGUAUGGGAAAUAGUCUCUUGUUGCAAAAACCACAGCCAUGCAAAUAACCCCUAUUGUGAUGGACGUUACUGAAACUACUACCACUGAGAAUUUCGCAAGCCGAUGAUUACCAGCUCCAAGUUCAUUUGAUACUCUCACACUUAUGGCAGCAUUGAAUCCAAUAGCAAUCAUUGCAUCCCAUCCCUGUAUGUUCAUGCAUAUAGAAAUGGCAUCAACUGGUAUAAGGGGGUUAGGCAAACGACCA